rnacentral:rRNA from 1 species
ACACUCCUACGGGAGGCAGCAGUGGGGAAUUUUGGACAAUGGGCGCAAGCCUGAUCCAGCCAUGCCGCGUGCGGGAAGAAGGCCUUCGGGUUGUAAACCGCUUUUGUCAGGGAAGAAAAGGUUCUGGCUAAUACCUGGGACUCAUGACGGUACCUGAAGAAUAAGCACCGGCUAACUACGUGCCAGCAGCCGCGGUAAUACGUAGGGUGCAAGCGUUAAUCGGAAUUACUGGGCGUAAAGCGUGCGCAGGCGGUUAUGCAAGACAGAGGUGAAAUCCCCGGGCUCAACCUGGGAACUGCCUUUGUGACUGCAUGGCUAGAGUACGGUAGAGGGGGAUGGAAUUCCGCGUGUAGCAGUGAAAUGCGUAGAUAUGCGGAGGAACACCGAUGGCGAAGGCAAUCCCCUGGACCUGUACUGACGCUCAUGCACGAAAGCGUGGGGAGCAAACAGGAUUAGAUACCCGAGUAGUCCCAUG